rnacentral:rRNA from 1 species
AUGGCGGCCGCGGGAGAUCCUCUCCAAGGUCAAGCACGUCCAGGCCAAGCCUGCUGGCCGCCCUCGCGGGUGACUGCCUCCGCGGUGACGACGACGGCCUCGUCAUCCCCGGAGACCGCGGCGCCCCUCAAGGCCGACCUCCGCCACAUGAGUGAUCCGUCGAUCUCGUCUCUCCAACCAUUCAGUUCUCGCACGCACGAGUUCGACCUGGACAAGCCGCCGGUGCUGCAGGAGGUGGCGGAUUUCUUCAGUGGCCACGGAAUCGAGGACUUCACCUUCAGCAGGGGCAGGCUGUCAGAAUGGCAGUGCCGGGCAAAGCUAGCGGUAUGCGGAACACCAGAGAAACCACUGAUUGGCCUGUAUCAGGAAUGGACACAUACUGUUCAAGAUAUUCCCGAUUGCGGAGGUAGGACAGGAGGAACAGCGACAAGCGAUGGGAUGAAGCCCGGCCAUGGAAACCCAUCGCAGCCUUCAAGACCUUGA